rnacentral:rRNA from 1 species
UACGGGGGGAGCAAACGUUGUUCGGAAUCACUGGGCGUAAAGGGCGUGUAGGCGGCUGAAUAAGUGGGAUGUUAAAUCCCCCGGCUCAACCGGGGACCUGCAUCUCAUACUGUUCAGCUCGAGCACAUCAGAGGAGACUGGAAUUCCCGGUGUAGCGGUGAAAUGCGUAGAUAUCAGGAGGAACACCGGUGGCGAAGGCGGGUCUCUGGGCCGAUACUGACGCUGAGGCACGAAAGUGCGGGGAUCAAACAGG